UACCCUUUAUUGUAAUAGAGCCCAGGGCAUCCAUAGUAUUUAAUUCCAGAGGGUUGUACAUGUGUGUUGACUGCAUUAGCGCAAUUUUAGGUGUACCUAAAAACAGGUAUAAACACGACCAAACUUCUCUCUUCUCUCUCUUUCUGUUCCUCAUCGAUCAAAAAGUUAACUUGAAUUAAAAAAAAGAAUAUAUCAGGAGGAAGGGUAGGUAGGAACAUAUUGGACUGAGACAAUUAGAAAGCAGUUAUUUAAUCUUGGUAGAAUAUAGUGUGGAAUAUAACCUGUUAAUGCUGAGCAUAUGGAUUGGCAAUGUUCCACAUUGCUGAAUGUUAUUUCAAAAGCAAUUAAGUACCUGUUGUUUUUUUUUUUGUUUUGUUUUAAACAAGUAGCUGAUUCAUAUUAGACAUUUUGUGCCAGAAUUUCAGAACUGGGUUUGUGUUUGUGCCUAAUAUGAACACAAACUACAGUUAGAUAAUCAGUCAUUUGUGUGUGCAGUUACUCAUAGGUGGCCACAAGUCCUUGAAGAAACAGUUUAAAAUGUGUCUUUCAUGUUGAAAGACUUUGGUAAAGCGGUAAAACCACAUUGUGGACAUAGGAAAAAACUGGGCAACUACUAUAAUGUUAUCUUUUGUUUAUUUUUUUUAGGGCGCCAAUGCCUCGGCUUUAGAGAAAGAGAUUGGUCCAGAACAGUUUCCAGUCAACGAGCACUAUUUUGGUCUAGUUAAUGAAUUGUCUGUGAGAAGAUUGCAUCUAAGAGCAACAGAAGCCUACCGCCAGCAAGAGUUCCAGAUUAAGUAGGGAGUGAUAUAUGAAGAAAAAUACUAAUAACACAGCCUCAGGGAAUUGGGAGAGGAGCUGAAAGAAAAGUGUCUAAGAAAAGGAGCUUUCUCUUUGUUGGUCCCAUUUCUACAUGAAAUUUGGAGACAUUUGGGAACACAUGCUACUGCAAUUCAGUUCUUCAGGCACUUUAUUUUUGUCGCCCAUUUCGAGAAAACGUUCUAGCAUACAAGAG